UUCCUAAAGUUUCUAUAACCAUACCAAACAACACCACCAGAUAGGGUGCAAGUGUUUAGACACAGGAGCCUGUCAGGAAGGUUUCACAUUCAACCUCAGGCUCUUCUAAAUAGCCCACCUCCAAAUGCCUGUAACAGAUGAACUUGGGGCCGAAGUUCCUAACAUACGAACUUCCAGGUUAAGAGCCAGGAAGUGCUAAAGGAGGCUUAAGACUCAAGAAGCAAACAACCAAAAAGUCUCAGGAAGUCCCUGAAAUGGACCAGAUGCACAAGGUCUCUCUCCCGAGGUCGUACAAGCUGAGCUGCCCACACACCCGCGGAGCUGUCUGUGCAGGCUUCUAGCUUUUACCAGUCAUCACCUAUGGCGUAGGACUUCAGUGAUACAAGGGCCUUUGAGCUGCUCCUGUGAGUAACGCCAAACCUGUAAGCAACCCCAGUAAAUACUCACUGUUUCACCAA